UCCGGGUCCAUAUAUCGGAGGAACUCUUGAAGCUCUAGAUAAUGCAUUUUUAUGGGCACAAGAAUAUGAUAUCAAAUGCAUAAUUGACCUUCAUGCUGCUCCUGGUUCUCAAAAUGGAAUGGAGCAUAGUUCAAGCAGAGAUGGAUUUACGGGCUGGCCAACUUCCCCAGAUUACAUUUCUGAGUCAUUACAUGUUAUUGAAUUUUUAGUUUCAAGAUAUGCAAAACACCCUGCCUUGCUGGGAAUUGAGCUAUUGAAUGAACCAUUAGCUGGCACA